rnacentral:snRNA from 1 species
GAAAUUGCCUGGCAGGGGAGACACCAUGAUUAGGCAGUUGAUUUUCACAGCAGGAGGUUUAUCUCCUGCACUCCAGGUACGCUGAUCACUGCAAUUUUCUCCCAAAUGAGGGAUACUUGCUGUAUAAUUUGUGGUAGUGGGGGACUGCGUUCACUGUCUCUCU